UUAGAUACCCUGGUAGUCCACGCCGUAAACGAUGAGUGCUAGGUGUCGGGUAGAAAUAUUCGGUGCCGCAGCUAACGCAAUAAGCACUCCGCCUGGGGAGUACGUACGCAAGUAUGAAACUCAAAGGAAUUGACGGGGACCCGCACAAGCAGCGGAGCAUGUGGUUUAAUUCGAAGCAACGCGAAGAACCUUACCAGGGCUUGACAUGCCUCUGACGUUACUAGAGAUAGUAAUUUAUCCUUCGGGAUACAGGGGACACAGGUGGUGCAUGGUUGUCGUCAGCUCGUGUCGUGAGAUGUUGGGUUAAGUCCCGCAACGAGCGCAACCCUUGUAUUUAGUUGCCAGCAUUAAGUUGGGCACUCUAGAUAGACUGCCGUGGACAACACGGAGGAAGGUGGGGAUGACGUCAAAUCAUCAUGCCCUUUAUGUCCUGGGCUACACACGUGCUACAAUGGUCGGUACAACGAGCAGCAACGCUAGGCGAUAGCAACGCGAAUCUCUAAAAGCCGAUCCCAGUUCGGAUUGUAGGCUGCAACUCGCCUACAUGAAGU
rnacentral:rRNA from 1 species